CGGCGGACGGGUGAGUAAUGCCUAGGAAUCUGCCUGGUAGUGGGGGACAACGUCUCGAAAGGGACGCUAAUACCGCAUACGUCCUACGGGAGAAAGCAGGGGACCUUCGGGCCUUGCGCUAUCAGAUGAGCCUAGGUCGGAUUAGCUAGUUGGUGAGGUAAUGGCUCACCAAGGCGACGAUCCGUAACUGGUCUGAGAGGAUGAUCAGUCACACUGGAACUGAGACACGGUCCAGACUCCUACGGGAGGCAGCAGUGGGGAAUAUUGGACAAUGGGCGAAAGCCUGAUCCAGCCAUGCCGCGUGUGUGAAGAAGGUCUUCGGAUUGUAAAGCACUUUAAGUUGGGAGGAAGGGUUGUAGAUUAAUACUCUGCAAUUUUGACGUUACCGACAGAAUAAGCACCGGCUAACUCUGUGCCAGCAGCCGCGGUAAUACAGAGGGUGCAAGCGUUAAUCGGAAUUACUGGGCGUAAAGCGCGCGUAGGUGGUUUGUUAAGUUGGAUGUGAAAGCCCCGGGCUCAACCUGGGAACUGCAUUCAAAACUGACAAGCUAGAGUAUGGUAGAGGGUGGUGGAAUUUCCUGUGUAGCGGUGAAAUGCGUAGAUAUAGGAAGGAACACCAGUGGCGAAGGCGACCACCUGGACUGAUACUGACACUGAGGUGCGAAAGCGUGGGGAGCAAACAGGAUUAGAUACCCUGGUA
rnacentral:rRNA from 1 species